ACUCAAAGGAAUUGACGGGGGCCCGCACAAGCGGAGGAGCAUGUGGUUUAAUUCGAUGAUACGCGAGGAACCUUACCCGGGCUUGAAUUGCAGUGGAAUGUUCAGGAAACUGUUCAGUCUUCGGACCACUGUGAAGGUGCUGCAUGGUUGUCGUCAGCUCGUGCCGUGAGGUGUUAGGUUAAGUCCUGCAACGAGCGCAACCCUUACACUUAGUUGCCAGCAUGUAAUGAUGGGGACUCUAUGUGAACUGCCUACGCAAGUAGUGAGGAAGGUGGGGAUGACGUCAAAUCAGCACGGCCCUUAUGUUCGGGGCUACACACGUGCUACAAUGGUCGGUACAGAGGGCAGCUACCCCGCGAGGGGAUGCGAAUCUCGAAAGCCGAUCUCAGUUCGGAUCGGAGUCUGUAACUCGACUCCGUGAAGUUGGAUUCGCUAGUAAUCGCGCAUCAGCCAUGGCGCGGUGAAUACGUUCCCGGGCCUUGUACACACCGCCCGU
rnacentral:rRNA from 1 species